UACGUAGGGUGCAAGCGUUGUCCGGAAUUAUUGGGCGUAAAGAGCUCGUAGGCGGUUUGUUGCGUCGGCUGUGAAAUCCCGAGGCUCAACCUCGGGUCUGCAGUCGAUACGAGCAAACUAGAGUGUUGCAGGGGAGACUGGAAUUCCUGGUGUAGCGGUGGAAUGCGCAGAUAUCAGGAGGAACACCGGUGGCGAAGGCGGGUCUCUGGGCCGAUACUGACGCUGAGGAGCGAAAGCGUGGGGAGCGAACAGG
rnacentral:rRNA from 1 species